CAUUCUCCGAAAUCUUCUGUUUAAGGAGCUCUACUUUCUGCUCCUCUCCAGCAAUAUUACCAGAUUCAAUUGGUCCUUCAACAUCUAUAAAGAGAUCAAGGAACAGGAGAUACCUUUUCGAACAUUCCAGGGCAAAUAUAUGGAGUUAAAACAUUAUGCAUCUGAUCAAUC